UGGGGCAUCGCCAAGCGGUAAGGCAUCAGACUCUGACUCUGACAUUUCCGGGGUUCGAAUCCCUGUGCCCCAGCCA
rnacentral:tRNA from 1 species